UUUUGCACGCAAGCUUGGCAGCUGUAAGCUGGGUUCUCUCUGAGAUACGGGUGAAGGCGAGUGGCCAAAUGACACAGCAAGCCACGUGCAGCAGGAUUUUCUCUGAGGUUUUUCUGACCUUUCCAUCCUCUCUGGUUUGGGGAGUGGAGAGACAUUGAUCCAAAGCAAAAUCUCCAGGAAGGGAGAGUGUGAUCCAGGAAGCAUGAUAGCUGCCCUUCCUGGACUUGCCCCCACCCCUAGCCCUGCCGAGACAGCCCUGCUGAACAGGACACAAGCGGUGUCAGAAGUCUGGAGUGACCUAGAGGCCAUAAGCACUCCGAGAUCAAAAUCCACAGCAUCCUGAAAUUCUUUAGACCUGCACCCACUGAAUUCCCGGCCCAGGAAGCAGAACAGAGAACUGACUUCUAUGCCCCCAGGUUGCUAACCCCGUGGAGAGUCCUGAGUUGAACACAUGAACAGUCUUAACUGAAUAAAAUGGCAUCGGCAUUUUUUCCUA